AGAAGCAGAACCGAGUCGUAUGUGUGGAGGGACAGUAACUGUGUGUGUAUAUAAAAAGGUGUGAUCCUGGAGAUCCCUGCACUUCCUGUGACAACAGGAAGUGAUGUUACUCUGCGUUGCAGACAGAUCAAUGGUGACUUGGUGGCAGCUUACUUCUUCUUCAGUGGACGUCUUCUUGGAUCUGGAUAUAAAGAGCACACCAUCUCCAACGUGCAGCAGUCUAAUAAGGGGGUGUACUGGUGUGCUACUGAUCUAGCUGGACCAUCUCCUCAAAGCUUCCUAAAGAUCACAGAUUCACCUACAACUGCUUUCAGAUCUUCUGUGGCUUCUCCUCAUCUUGAAACCAUGCCCUCCAGCUCCUCUCUUCCCUCUUUUUCUCAUCCAACUAGCUCUUCCUCACCUCCUCCUCCUUCUCUUCAACCUCCUCCUUCCUCUCUGUCUGUGUUCCGACUUCUCUUACACCUGCUGGUCUUCUGUCCAUACUUCAUCAUCACGGGUCUGCUGCUGUCCAUCUGCUUGGAUCAGAUCUACACCACACGCUCAGGAAAUAGACUUGUCGUUUCCAUGGAGAUGACUCACCAGGUUGGACAGAAUGAGGAUAUUGCCGUUGAUAUCACCACUGAGCAUGACUUCUCAUCUGAAGCAAAGUGACCUGAAACACGUCACUCUUCUUGAACUCUGAGGAAGCUUUAUCACAAGCAAGCAGAGAGAGAGGGAGAGAGAGAGAAAGAGAGAGAGAGAACAUCACUCCAGAAGCUUCGGCUUCUCAUUUCUCAGAAGGAAAAUGUAAUUCUGGUUUCCCCUUGUUCACUUCCUUUCUUUUGAUUCGACUGAAAAUGUGUUGUUUCACGCCUUUUUUUUUCACAUUUUUGUUUUUUCAACACAGUCAGCCUGAGGAGGCUUUAAUUCAUGUGUUAUUUGUGAUGGUAAAUCAGGUUCAGCUUAAAUCGGACAAAUUCAGUAUUAGGAAUCUGCCUCAUUAUGUAAAGUAAUUUAUGUAUAUAAUGAAAUAGAUCCAACAUCUUUCUUUAACAUAAUUGCAGACUGAAAAGAUGAUGCCUUCCCAAAAGAAAAAGUACUGUAGGUACUACUAUUACUAGGGUAUAUUACUAGACUUAAUAUGUACUACUAUACAGUUUACAAAAAUUAAAAAAUAAAAUAAAAGC